rnacentral:lncRNA from 1 species
UGUAAACUUGAUCAGAGAUUUUGCCGUGAGAUAACGGCCCGAAAGAUUUGGUAAAUCGUCUUCUCUUUUUAGGCGGAAUUUUUAAAGAGGGAUGUGGGAACCUACAGCAGAAAUACAGGCGGCGGCAGCGGCGCCUUCCAGGGCCAUAGGCUGCGGGGGCGACCGGCGGGGAAAGCGCAGCGCAGCGCCGGUACGAGAGGGCACGGACACAGAGAGACGGAACGGAGCGGGCCGGGGCGCGGGGCUGCGGCGGAAUGGGAACAGAAGGCGAGUAGCGGAGCGGCGCGGCGGGCAGAAGAGCAGGGGGCGCCGCCGGCAGCGCUUUUAUAGGCGGCGCGGCCGCGGGGAGGGACCGGGACCUCGCGUCAGCGGCCGCGGGGCGGGAGGAGCUGCCGCCGCUCCCGCCUUCCCGCCUCAAACCCGGCUCCCGGCGGGCUUGGCUGCGUUCCCGCCCGCUCCGCGCCGGCGGCGGAGGAGGCGCUGCCCCGCCGUGCCCGAUCCGCCAACGUGGAGGCGGCCGCCGGGGCAGGUGCGGGCCGCGCUCUGCGGCAGCUUCCCUCGGGGCCCGAGUGCCGCGCCGAGCGGGGCCCCUCAUCCAGCGCUCUUUGUGGCGCCGGAGCGUCUUCAGAAGUGGGUUGUUUUUUUUUUUUUUUUUGAGCCGCCAGUUUGGGAAUGGCAGGGAACGUCACCGUGAACUGUGAGAGAAGGGGAGCGCAGGGGCUGCGGAAAGAGCGAAGCUUGUCUGACACAGGCGUUGGGUUCAGGACACUGAGUUGUUUCCAGAUAUGGGCCCCUUGGAGGACAGUGCUUGAAAACCCACCUUUUUUUUUGCAGCCUUUUAGCAGUUCCGUGCAGAGAGCAGGUCAGGAGCUGUCAGAGAUCAUCCCUCAGAGCCCAGGGUGGGGGGUUGCCCACAUACGGCUUUGAGUGACAGCCUGGAUCUCCGUUCUGGUAACGGCACCCACGGCAGUGAGACCAGGCCGGUGUCAUGCAGUGCUGAGCAGGUGGCAGAGGCCGGGUCCUCACAGCCGGCCGGGAGCCUCCUUCACCAAGGGAACAGGAGCCCGCUGCCUGCUGCUGAUACAUGGAGCAUGAAGCUGUGAGCAAUGCUCACUGGAGGAGACCGAGCAUGGAAUGGUUUGGGUUGGAAGGGACCUAGCUUGCCUCGCGUUUAGGUGAGUUUCAAGACAGGUAAAUACAUGAACUAUGGGAUUUAGCUGACCCACUCAGGCACUCAUACAGCUGCACAUCCUGAAGUCCUCAUUACUUCAUAACAUCCUUGCGAGGAAGUGCAGCUCAUGUGCUGCAAGUGGAAAACAGCAGCUCAGAGACAGAGCUCAAGUAAAGGUCACCAAAGAGUUUGGUGGCAGAGCUAAGGACCAAACCCCGAUCCCACAGUCCUGCCGUGUUGGUUACCAAAGUACACAGGGCUGUCAGGUUCUUAAAGCUCCUUCAUGCAGUUAUAGUCCUUCCAAGGCACUAAAAUCUACUGAGAACCCCAUAGAAGAGGAUGGAGAGUAAUUGUUUUGGAAGGCAAUUGUUAAUCUAAGAACACACUGGUUUAUUAAUUAAAACCAAAAUCCUGUGGGUUAGUGCGGGUUGGAUUUUUUUUCUUGCAAAGCAAAACUGGGUUUGUUGAGUUUUGUAGAAGAGAGAAUGUAGAAAAGUGGCUAAUAGACACACACCUGUCAUCUCUUCAGAACUAAAAUGAGACAGAAGUUCUGCAGCAAGCAGUGAUGGAGUUUGUUUACUCUUCAUCUGUUGUCACCUUCUCUUUUGCGAAUCGUUUUAAAUGAGGAGGAAGUGAGCUGACAAAUGUAUGCAGUCUCAGUGCGGUGUCUCAUCUUUCCCGAUAAGAGCACUAAGAGUGUACAGAUCAGCCAGUAAAAUCAGGUGCUUAAUGCUGAAGUCAGAGGACCUCUUGCAUACAUUUGCAACAAACCCUGCAUUCAGGAAUAAAAACACAGCAGUUUGCACUGUUUUCUCAAGUGUGUUCCGUGCUACACCCCUCACUGGUGACUUGCCUGCUGUUUUGAGUUCCUAUUCUGGAAUAGUAAGUGCAGGAGGAGGAAAGGAAUCACCAAAAAACCCAAAAUAUAACCCACACACUAAAGAAAAAAAAAAGAAAGAAAGCUGUAGAGAUAUAGGAAGAGAGAUAAGAGAGAUUUGGACAGAUCUGGACAAGGGUGCCAUAAAUGUGAAUCAUUAACAGAGAAAAAGGGAGGAAGGAUUAGAAGGAAGGACAAGGGUUAUGGGGAUAUAACCAGAGGAGCCAUUCAGACUGCUAUAUUCUUAGGGAAUAUAGGCUUUUUUUUAAUGUAUUUUUGGAAGGGAUUUAAGCUAGGAAAAGGGCUUGGUUUAAAGUUUGAAGGAGUUUAGUGAUGAUGAAAGAAACAGUAAAAAAAAAUAGGUCAACAGUAGUUCUGCAUAGAACUAUUUAUUUUAUCUGUGUUCUUAUCUUGCGAUGGCAAUAGCUGAAGAUGUCUCAUCAGUACAUGAGGGAUGUGACUGCCACAUCAGUUGCUGCCAUUUCAUCUACAUGCACCUUCCCAGAGGAGUUCUUGUUUUGCUAGGUAGGGGAUGUUUUUAAUAUUCCUACCGUGCGCAUGAAAACAGGCUGGCUGUUGAGGAGGGGAGGACAGUCACGUAGGCCAGGAAAAAGAAGUUCAGUUUGAUACUCAAUUAAUUGGGGGCACUGUCAGCUAUUUUAAAAACAUAUGGAGGGAGGGAGGAUUUCCUGCUCGUGGAGGAAGCAACACUUGAAAACAGAAACAUAAACUUCAUCCUCUCCAGUCUACUGAAAAAACAAAAAGAAGUGGCACACUGUUCAAGAGUGAACUGCAGACAGAAUGAGGACCCACACUUUAUGCAGUGUUUCCACUUUCACUGGUGAUAAUAACGCAGAAAUAGAAAACUGAUGUCACAGCUCAAAUGCGUAGAUAGUCUUAGCAUUGCACUGCACAGAGCUAACGCUGCUUUGUACACACAGGCAGAACGUAAAAAGUCCAGUAAGUUCCUUCACUUCAUUAACAUUUGUCUACACUCGGUUUUAAUCCUUCAAUUAGUAUCCUUGCGUGGCUCCGCAUGCACAAUGUACUUCAUGGAUUACUAGAGUAACAGCUCACGUUGUGUUCUGUAAGAUGAAAAGGCAGCAGAGCACAAAAGGCAGGUACAGCCCUCACUUCCAAUUGCUUACACCACGUUUCCUUUUCUGCCUUCACAUGUGUUGUUUCCCGCACUGCUGACAGUUGGAUAUAGACAAAAUUAGGCUUUAUCCCUGUGACUCAGAUAAACAGGAGCAGGAAGGACACCCUUCCCCACCUCUCAUUUUGGAACGCAAAAAACACUCAGCGGUGAGGUAACCGUGUGGUCGGGAGUUUCAAACUGAUUUGGGCAGAUGUCUGAAGGCUGUGUAGCCUGAUGACCUUCUCCACUAACCCAAAGUAUUUCCUUCUCUUUAUGUCUUCCUAUGGGCUACCUCUUCUCUCCUCUGGUUCUCCCAUUUCCUUUCCCUCUCCGAUGCACUAUCACCAGACAUCAGCAGGGGAUCAGAUUCCGCUCCUGCAGGUGAGAGAAUGAGAUUAUUUCCUCCUCCGUCUCCUCUUCCUCUUCCCUCUCUGCUGCCAACUCCUGCAGUCAUCGGUGUUUUUUCUUAAAGCAUCAGGUGCAGGAAUUGUAUGGGUAUGCAAGAAUUUCAACUUCCAUCGAGAAUAAAAUCAUGACCAUAGAGAAGAGUUUGAAAUAUGUUUGCUGAAAACACGAAGCAACAAAGGAUAAAUACAAAUAAUAACCCACUUUUUGUGUAGGGAAAAGGUUACUGCAAUUUCAGAGUGCUUGGACUUGGCAAUACGGUUUCUCUCUUGGCUUCUUGGCUUCACGUCCAUGCGGAGGCAUCCGGUGCCAGGAACAGUUAGCAAUCUGUAGCUGUCCAGCAGGAGCACCGAGCCAUUGCAGUAGGAGGAAAGAAGCAGUCAAGAUUUCAUUUUGGUCUGAGCUGCAUAGGGGAGGAAUGGCUGUGCGCAGGGCAGGCACGGGACGAAAGGAAAAUGAGCACAGUGACAGAUGAUGGGACCCCUUGUUCCCACUGUGCUAUAGAAGUACUAGAGUUCCAGCAGCCUCUGUGUAGUAGAACUGUCUGUAUAAAUAGGACCUUCAGGCAGCACUGUCCGUUUGGUACUCGAAUCUUUGUACCUUUCUCAUUGCUGCAUAGUUCAGAGCUAUCGCUGUUCCUGUCCAGUGGAAAGAAACACUGAUAUGCAGCUGGAGGAAUGAUUCAUAAUUAUUAAAAGCCUAGAGGUGGUGGGAGGAAAGACAUGUCUGCUUUAGCACACAGAGCAGUCGCCUCUCAACUAUGUUUGCUGAAUUAUUUGCUGGAUCAAAAUAGCUGCAGCAGAAAUCAGAUCUGGUCUUGGAUUAGCCUGGUUUAUACAGUGAAUAUUUACAGAAUACAUCUCAUACUCAAGCUAAGUCAUUUAAACAAAGAAAAGGUUAAAAAAUGAGUAUAUACCGGCUCAUUGUUUUGACUGACAUAGCUUCUACAGAGGCAUGUGAGGUGAUCUGGUGCAUGGAAAAUUAAUGGAAACAGUGGCUCAAAGCACUACAUAAGGGUAUCACAAAUAAGUAACACUGAACUUUGGUUGUUUUAGAAAGAUCAAAAGUAAAAAGAAGUAACAACAACAAAAAAACCGUCUUGAUUUAGGAGUAUCUAGCAAUAUGCUAUAAGCACAGUUUUGCAGAUAUAGCCUUUUAUCAGUCCACUGCUAGAAUGGUAUUGAACCUCUAUGAAAACCUAGAGUGGAUGACCAGAGACUAAAAGAAAAUGUCUGUGAACUAGAUAUCUUACCAGCUGAAUAAGGACUAUCAAAGAGAAUAUUCAAAUGUGAGCGUUACUGUGGAGUCCAGUGACCUGCUUGCAUACGCUGUAUUAACUAGUAAACAGCAAGAAGAUUCAAAAGCUUUAAGUACCUGCAACAGAACAUGGACUUCCUACUAUCAGGAAAUAGGCCUAAGCUCAGCCCAAGUUAGAAACAACUUGGACUUGUUAUGCAGUAGAGAUUAAUUGUGUGUUGAUCAUUCACAUUCUAGUUGUCCAAGUACCAUAGAUGAUCAUGAAAACCUGCAGGAUCAGCCAGUGGCUCAGGGUUCGGCCCCUGUGAAAUUUAUCUUUUCUCACUAUGAGUUUCUUUAGAUUGGUGAAGAGGCAUGAAGUUUUCCUUUAUGAACAAACAGGAGGCAUCUGUUCCCAGAAGAGUGAACUAAUCAACAGUGAUAAGUCUAUCAUCAACUUAAAAAUGCAGCAGUCCAAGUGCUGGAGUGAGAUGAAGUGUUGUGUGUGCCAUCCAGGCCUUCUGAUGAAAGUUAA